CGGUAAUUCCAGCUCCAAUAGCGUAUACUAAAGUUGUUGCAGUUAAAAAGCUCGUAGUUGGAUUUCUGUGGGGACGGAGCGGCCGGACGCAACUUGCGGCUCGAGCUAGCGCUUUCCCCACAUCCUGCCGCGAACCGUGCUACCAUUAGUUUGGUGGCGCCGGGGAUCGGCUCGUCUACUUUGAGAAAAAUAGAGUGUUCAAAGCAGGCCACACGCCUUGAAUAAGUUAGCAUGGAAUAAUAAUAAAGGACUUCGGUUCUAUUUUGUUGGGGUUCGGAACUGAAGAAAGGAUGGAAAGGAACGGUCGGGCGGGUCAGAAUUCCAAAGGGAGAGGUGAAAUUCUUAAACCUUCGAAAAACUAACAGCUGCGAAAGCGUUCCGAAGGGAUGUUCCCUUUGAUCAAAAACGAAGGUGGGGGAAUCGAAAACAAUCAAAUACCGUCGUAGUCUCAACUAUAAACUAUACCAGCUAGGGAUCGGCCAACGUUAAAUUAUUCGACUUGGUCGGCACCUUAUGAGAAAUCAAAGCAUCUGGGUUCCGGGGGGAGUAUGGUCGCAAGGCUGAAACUUAAAGGAAUUGACGGAAGGGCACCACCAGGCGUGGAGCCUGUGGCUUAAUUUGACUCAACACGGGAAAACUUACCAGGUCCAGACAUAGGAAGGAUUGACAGAUUGAUAGCUCUUUCUUGAUUCUGUGGGUGGUGGUGCAUGGCCGUUUUUAGUCGGUGAAGUGAUUUGUCUGCUUAAUUGCGUUAACGGACGAGACCCCAGCCUGCUAAAUAGCGCGGCCGAGCUUUGCUCGGUGCGAGCUUCUUAGAGGGACCAUGAUGCGCGAUAGCACAAGGAAGUUUGGGGCAACAACAGGUCUGUGAUGCCCUUAGAUGUUCUGGGCCGCACACGGGCUACACUGGCGCCUGCAACGAGCAUAUCAGCUGGCCCGAGAGGGUCUUGGCUAAUCUUUGGAACCGGCGCCGUGCUUGGGAUUGACCAUUGCAAUUGUUGGUCAUGCAACGAGGAAUGCCUUGUAAACGCGAGUCAUCAGCUCGCAUUGAAUACGUCCCUGCCCUUUGUACACACCGCCCGUCGCUCCUACCGAUGAAUGUUCCGAUGAAAUUUUCGGAGAGCGCCAGAGAACGGGGCUCUGCCUUGCAGAUCUGGAGGCUCAAAGUCACUUAAAUCUGAACAUUUCGAGGAAGGAGAAGUCGUAACAAGGUAACC
rnacentral:rRNA from 1 species